CAUGCAAGUCGAACGGAAAGGCCCUUCGGGGUGCUCGAGUGGCGAACGGGUGAGUAACACGUGGGUGAUCUGCCCUGCACUUUGGGAUAAGCCUGGGAAACUGGGUCUAAUACCGAAUAGGACUCCGGACUGCAUGGUCUGGGGUGGAAAGCUUUUGCGGUGUGGGAUGGGCCCGCGGCCUAUCAGCUUGUUGGUGGGGUGAUGGCCUACCAAGGCGACGACGGGUAGCCGGCCUGAGAGGGUGACCGGCCACACUGGGACUGAGAUACGGCCCAGACUCCUACGGGAGGCAGCAGUGGGGAAUAUUGCACAAUGGGCGCAAGCCUGAUGCAGCGACGCCGCGUGGGGGAUGACGGCCUUCGGGUUGUAAACCUCUUUCAGCACAGACGAAGCGUAAGUGACGGUAUGUGCAGAAGAAGCACCGGCCAACUACGUACCAGCAGCCGCGGUAAUACGUAGGGUGCGAGCGUUGUCCGGAAUUACUGGGCGUAAAGAGCUCGUAGGUGAUUUGUCGCGUUGUUCGUGAAAACUCACA
rnacentral:rRNA from 1 species